AGACUUAGACGAAUGCCAGGCUAAUAACGGUGGCUGUACUCAGACGUGUUCCAACACUGAGGGUUCUUUCAUGUGUUCAUGUCGCGAUGGUUUUGUCCUCGAUGGGGACAAGAAAACGUGCAGAGAUGCUUCAGACUGCGAUGACAAACAGUUCGUCUGGUGCUGGCCACAGUGUAGCCAAUCAGCGUCUUCCUGUGAGUGCCCCUCUGGUCACGUACUUCACAGCAAUGGGAUCAACUGCGUAGACCCUUGUUUUAUCAAGCCCUGUCAACAUAACGGCGUGUGCUCCAAACCCUCCCCUGAUGCAACAACUUUUACAUGUGACUGUACCAACACGGGUUACCAAGGAGACCGGUGUGAAACGGGAAUCAUCUCAUUGCCAG